UUUUCCUACGGGGGGCAGCAGUGAGGAAUAUUGGUCAAUGGGCGCGAGCCUGAACCAGCCAAGUCGCGUGUGGGAAGACGGUCCUCUGGAUUGUAAACCACUGUCCCCAGGGACGAAGAUGACGGUACCUGGGGAGGAAGCUCCGGCUAACUACGUGCCAGCAGCCGCGGUAAUACGUAGGGAGCGAGCGUUGUCCGGAAUUACUGGGUGUAAAGGGAGCGUAGGCGGGGAUGCAAGUUGGGUGUCAAAACUACCGGCUCAACUGGUAGUCGCACUCAAAACUGCAG
rnacentral:rRNA from 1 species